CUUGGCUAGUGGGAAAAAGUAUUGAUGUGUGUUGUAAUUUAAAUUAAUAAACCAGCAUUCUGGUUUUCUAAACAGUGCCCUGUGAGUUUGACAAAUUUAAAUCUUAUCCAUUUGGGAAGAACUGAUGAAACUGCGUUCCUGGAACAGUCCAGGGCCAUCAGGCCAGCUUCUGCACAGAUUGCCUUGAUGUUGGCACCAGAGAGGUAGGUCAUCUGUAGCCACAAUCAAGUUGCCCCUGGUUACAUCACCAACCAGUGUUAUCCUGCUUGUAUGAAUCUGACAGUGGAACUUGAUCUUUCCAGGAACCAGGUAGCUCUUUGUAAUAGUACUUCUAUGGGAAAGAAUAUUUGAAAUUUUAAACCAAACAAAAGUAAGGGACAAGGAUAAUGUGCUUUUAAGUUGAGAACUGCUUAUCUUUUUAAUUUCUUACUCUAGAAAUUAGUAAUAAUAACAGGGACUAACCUUUAGACAAAAUGUUAACAUGUGGUACAUUCAUCUCUAAAAACAUGUACUCAGCAAAGGUAAGUGCAAAGGGAAACCCAUUUCCUGGUAUGUAAGAGAAUCAAAGAAAGAAUAUGGGAGCUAUUUUUCACUGCAGCCUAUAAUCAUCGUUCCAAUUUCUGAGGACCAAGGGUAAACUAAAAAUGUGGGAUAAUGGAGAUUCAUUAUCAUGCCUUAAAGGAAAGAAAUUACUCUCCCAUAAAUUCUGGGUAAUCUGUCUCUUUCAAGCUAUCUAGUAAUGAAUUUCUAUUUGUUUACAGAUUGGGUAGGAACACUUUUUUCACAAGUGGCCAGGGCAACUUGCCAUCUUUUAUUUGACUUCAUUUAUUGGAAACUUCUAAGGAUCUGGAAUUUUUAUUUCUGUUUAGCCCGAAAGCAGACAGCACACACAUGGACAAGUAUUUCACGCGUGGGAAAGCCAACAAAGAAACUGUGCACUCACAUCAAGGAGAUGACGGUAAAGAGAACAUUCUUGGGGCUCAGACCUGGAAAGGGUAGGUACAACUUUUCUUGAAGAACUCAGUAUUUAUUCUUCUGAUACAUGCUGAGAAGAAUAGAUAAGGUUGUUUAACACCAGUCGAGAAUAGGCUGCUAACAAAUGGAAGACAAAUUUGUAUGUCUAAACUCAAGACAUCUCAAGGUGAAAGAUUUAAAAGUAGCAACAUUUUAUAUAUGUAAGUCUAAAAACAAUUUGAUUUACCAUCUUGAUGAUUUAAGUAAUUAUAUUUUUGGUUUUACCUUUUUCUUAUCAUACAUAGUUGGGAAUAGAAAUUGGUAUAUUCUAUGCGUAUGUGCUUCUGUGAUUAAAUUAUUUAUUUUUAUGGGAAAUUAAACCCAAAAGAGUGAAUGAUGUAUUAUAUUCUUGCCCACCUCGGUAAUCAAGCCUGAUCUACUAAGGCCUAUACUUAUUAAAAAAAAUUUUUUUUUAAGAUUUUAUUUAUUUAUUUAUUUAUUCAUGAAAGACACACAGAGAGAGAGGCAGAGACACAGGUGGAGGGAGAAGCAGGCUCCAUGCAGGGAACCUGAUGUGGGACUCUAUCCCAGGACUCCAGGAUCACGCACCGGGCCAAAGGCAGGCACUAAACCACUGAGCCACCCAGGGAUUCCCUUCAUAUUUUUUUAAAAGAUUUUAUUUACUUAUUCAUAGAGACACACAGAGAGAGACAGAGACACAGGCAGAGGGAGAAGCAGGCUCCAUGCAGGGAGCCCAAUGUGGGACUCAAUCCCCGGGUCUCCAGGAUCACACCCUGAGCUGCAGGUGGCGCUAAACGGCUGCACCACCAGGUCUGCCCUAAGGCCUAUACUUACUGAUGUUUUUUAUGUGCAAGAUGCUGGUUUAAACACUUUCUUUACCUCAUUUAAACCUCACAGUAAUCCUUCUAGAUGGUUGCCAAUAUCAACCCCAUUUCACAUAUGACAAAAUUUAUUUUUAGAGAGGUUAACAGACUUGCAAAGGCCACAUUGUUUUUCUACUGUGCAGACCUGAAGUAUGAUUAAGCACCGCUGUAUACUCUCUGAGAUAGGCCUAACUACUGUAUCAGAAAUGGGUUAGCAGUUGUCUAGGGAGGCAUAUUGCUUAUAAUGCUGAUAAAAGGAAACGAGAAGUUAUGCCAGUAAUAGAUUCUGGAUAUACCUCAUAGAAAAAAAUUCUAAGAAUGAAAAGUAUUAACAUUAACAAAAUAAAGCAAGGCCUAAUGAGGUAAUACA
rnacentral:lncRNA from 12 species